rnacentral:rRNA from 1 species
AGCAGCCGCGGUAAUUCCAGCUCCAAUAGCGUAUAUUAAAGUUGUUGCAGUUAAAAAGCUCGUAGUUGAAUUUUAGGCCUGGCCGGGCGGUCCGUCUUUGGCGGGUACUGUUCUGUGUCGGGUCUUGCCUUCUGGUGAACCGGCAUGUUCUUUAUUGAGUGUACCGGGGAGCCAGGACCAUUACCUUGAAAAAUUAGAGUGUUUAAAGCAGGCAUUUGCUUGAAUAGAUUAGCAUGGAAUAAUAGAAUAGGACGUUGGUUCUAUUUUGUUGGUCUAGGACCACCGUAAUGAUUAAUAGGGAUAGUUGGGGGCAUUAGUAUUCAAUUGUCAGAGGUGAAAUUCUUGGAUUUAUUGAAGACUAACUAUUGCGAAAGCAUUUGCCAAGGAUGUUUUCAUUAAUCAAGAACGAAAGUUAGGGGAUCGAAGACGAUCAGAUACCGUCGUAGUCUUAACCAUAAACUAUGCCGACUAGGAAUCGGGCGACGUUAUUUUCAUGACUCGCUCGGCGCCUUAUGGGAAA